UUGAAGACAUUUAUUUUUUGUUAGAGCGGCAACUUGUGUAUUUGGUCAAAUAAUGGAUAAUGUGUUCGAAAUCAGUGAAGGACUAUGAACACUGUGAGGAAGGAGAGAUAAUUAGUUGAUAGUCACAGAUUCCUAAACAUGAUAUAGUAGUAGGCUACUUUGACGAAGAAAAAAAAUCCCAACAAGUUUUACCAUCAUGUUUUUUGUUGUUGAUAAAUUUAAACCGAACACAGGAAGUGGAGGAUCAAAGACGAUGAAAACUAGUCCUAGACAUUUUGUACAACACAGCAGGCAUAUAGACUUACUCGAUCCAUUGUGGAAGCUAUUGUUUCUUUGUAUGGAAUGAAAUGUUGUAGGCUACAGUACAGUACUACUUUGUUGUAGUGUAGAGAUAAUGACUAGAGAAUUGCGUAGAGAAAAUUCGAUCCCAAGGGUGCAACUGAUGCGGCCCUAGACCAGAGUAAUCAAACAUCUACUUCAAUAUCAAAACGGAAUUAAGUUUGGACAAAUAAUCGUCUCAUGUAUCCUAAUAUUACUUCAGAAAGUUCCUGGAUAACAUUUUACGUGAUCUAUAAAAGUCGAGUAAAGUCAAGAAAACGUUCAACGCUUUCGCUAAGAAUCUUGUUGUCUGCUGUCGUCUACCCUUGCCUGGCAGUAACUUGGAACACAUGCGCAAAGAGGGAGUUUCUGAAUAGGCCUCUCCUGAGGGGUGUCUGAGAAUUACUACUUCCGGUUUUUGGCUGGUGCUAUAAUGACAGCUACUGUACACUACCAGCACACAUAGGACAAAGAGCUGUUUAUGCAAGUCUUUGCAAUGGGUGCAUCAAACCUAAUUCACAAGUAAUUCUCCUGUCAAAAAUAAACGUUUGGAGCCCACUCUAAAAGAUGAACCCUCUAUCCUGACACCUCUGGAUCAGUGCUGCAGGAUCCGUUGCUCCACCCUACUGUCUCUGUCUGUGUCUCCUCUCCCUGCCCCCAGUACAUUCUGUCAUGUCAUGAGGGACCUCCUUUUUCAUGAUCCUCUAUUCCCAGUGGCCCCUCUCCGAGCUGCAACUCUCCGCCCUGGACCGUCGCCUAGCGACCGUGCUCAGAACCUUGAGCCGUCGCCAGGGGCGACAGUGUAGCCGCCAUGGAGGAGGCGAGGAUGAUGUCACUCAUUACAAGACCGUGGUUACACCUGUGACACAUGCACAGUACACUCUUCCAGGGUUCUACCUGGAACCAAAAAGGUUCUAUGUGGAAGUGAAAAGGGUUCUUCAAAGCGUUAUCUUAUGGAGAAAGUCAAAGAACCCUUUAAGGUUCUAGAUAGCACCUUUUUUUCUAAAAGUGUAGUGUUGCCACGCCCACUCGACGACAACACUUCAACCGUCAAAAGAAAUUGUCCUGGUGCAUCACCAUGGUGUUGAUGAAUUGUGUGACGUCAUUGCAUCGGCAAUCCACAAAACUGAUAUAAGGACAUUUGGAGUUUCUGGCAUCAUUUGUUUGAUUUCUAACUAUUAGAGGAUUGCUGCAUCCCAAAUGUCAACUGACAUUCAGUACCAGUGAAAAGUUUGGACACACCUACUGAUACAUUGUAGAA